GAUGAACGCUAGCGGCAGGCUUAAUACAUGCAAGUCGAGAGGCAGCAUGAUUGUAGCAAUACAAUUGAUGGCGACCGGCAAACGGGUGCGGAACACGUACACAACCUUCCAAUAAGUGGGGAAUAGCCCAGAGAAAUUUGGAUUAAUACCCCGUAACAUAACGAUGUGGCAUCACAUUGUUAUUAUAGAUUUUUCGCUUAUUGAUGGGUGUGCGGCUGAUUAGAUAGUUGGCGGGGUAACGGCCCACCAAGUCUACGAUCAGUAGCUGAUGUGAGGGCAUGAUCAGCCACACGGGCACAGAGACACGGGCCCGACUCCUACGGGAGGCAGCAGUAAGGAAUAUUGGACAAUGGACGCAAGUCUGAUCCAGCCAUGCCGCGUGAAGGAUUAAGGUCCUCUGGAUUGUAAACUUCUUUUAUAAGGGACGAAAAAAGGCUUUUCUAAGUCGUCUGACGGUACCUUAUGAAUAAGCACCGGCUAACUCCGUGCCAGCCGCCGCUGUAAAAC
rnacentral:rRNA from 1 species